rnacentral:rRNA from 1 species
GGCGGCGUGCUUAACACAUGCAAGUCGAGCGGUAAGGCCUUUCGGGGUACACGAGCGGCGAACGGGUGAGUAACACGUGGGUGAUCUGCCCUGCACUCUGGGAUAAGCCUGGGAAACUGGGUCUAAUACCGGAUAUGACUACAGCAUGCAUGUGUUGUGGUGGAAAGAUUUAUCGGUGCAGGAUGGGCCCGCGGCCUAUCAGCUUGUUGGUGGGGUAAUGGCCUACCAAGGCGACGACGGGUAGCCGACCUGAGAGGGUGACCGGCCACACUGGGACUGAGACACGGCCCAGACUCCUACGGGAGGCAGCAGUGGGGAAUAUUGCACAAUGGGCGGAAGCCUGAUGCAGCGACGCCGCGUGAGGGAUGAAGGCCUUCGGGUUGUAAACCUCUUUCAGCAGGGACGAAGCGUGAGUGACGGUACCUGCAGAAGAAGCACCGGCUAACUACGUGCCAGCAGCCGCGGUAAUACGUAGGGUGCGAGCGUUGUCCGGAAUUACUGGGCGUAAAGAGUUCGUAGGCGGUUUGUCGCGUCGUUUGUGAAAACCCGGGGCUCAACUUCGGGCUUGCAGGCGAUACGGGCAGACUUGAGUGUUUCAGGGGAGACUGGAAUUCCUGGUGUAGCGGUGAAAUGCGCAGAUAUCAGGAGGAACACCGGUGGCGAAGGCGGGUCUCUGGGAAACAACUGACGCUGAGGAACGAAAGCGUGGGUAGCAAACAGGAUUAGAUACCCUGGUAGUCCACGCCGUAAACGGUGGGCGCUAGGUGUGGGUUCCUUCCACGGGAUCUGUGCCGUAGCUAACGCAUUAAGCGCCCCGC